UGGGGAAUUUUGGACAAUGGGCGAAAGCCUGAUCCAGCAAUGCCGCGUGUGUGAAGAAGGCCCUUCGGGUUGUAAAGCACUUUUUGUCCGGGAAAGAAAUCCUUGGCUCUAAUACAGUCGGGGGAUGACGGUACCGGAAGAAUAAGCACCGGCUAACUACGUGCCAGCAGCCGCGGUAAUACGUAGGGUGCAAGCGUUAAUCGGAAUUACUGGGCGUAAAGCGUGCGCAGGCGGUUUGCUAAGACCGAAUGUGAAAUCCCCGGGCUCAACCUGGGAACUGCAUUGGUGACUGGCAGGCUAGAGUAUGGCAGAGGGGGGUAGAAUUCCACGUGUGAGCAGUGAAAUGCGUAGAGAUGUGGAGGAAUACCGAUGGCGAAGGCAGCCCCCUGGGCC
rnacentral:rRNA from 1 species